UGGGCAACCUGCCCCUCUCUCUGGGAUAACCCCGGGAAACCGGAGCUAAUACCGGAUACUCCGGCUGGAUCGCAUGGUCCGGCCGGGAAAGGUCCGCCGGAGAGGGAUGGGCCCGCGGCCUAUCAGCUUGUUGGUGAGGUCACGGCUCACCAAGGCUACGACGGGUAGCUGGUCUGAGAGGACGACCAGCCACACUGGAACUGAGAUACGGCCCAGACUCCUACGGGAGGCA
rnacentral:rRNA from 1 species